rnacentral:lncRNA from 1 species
UUUUUUUUUUUUUUUUUCUUUAAGACAGGGUCGCACUGUGUCGUCCAGGCUGGAAUGCAAUGAUGUGAUCUUGACUCACUGCAACCUCAGCCUCCUGGCUAAAGCAAUCCUCUUGCCUCAGCCUCCCGAGUAGCUGGGACUACAGGGACAUACCACCACAUCUGGCUAAUUUUUUGUACUUUUAGUAGAGGCAGAGUUUUGCCGUAUUGCCCAGGCUGGUCUCAAACUCCUGGGUUCAAGUGAUCCACCCACCUCGGCCUCCCAAAGUCUAUUUUUUUCUUUCUUUUUUUUUUUUUUUGGUGAGAACAAUUAAGAUUUACUCCCAGCAAAUUUCAAAUACACAAUGCACUAUUGUUAAUUAUAGUCACCAUUACAUCUCCCGAACUUAUUCUGCAUAUCUGGAACUUUGUACCCAUAGAUCAACCUGUUCCCAUAUCCACCACCCUCCAGCCCCUGGCAACCACCAUUCUACUCUCUGCUCCUAAGCGUCUACUUUUUUUAUAUUCCACAUAUUAGUGAGAUCGUGCAGUAUUUGUUUAAGGAGAUUUUAAAUUAUUUUUGCAAAGGAAUUUCCUGUGCAAUAUGCUAUUUGACUGCCACAACGAGGCUGUGAAUUCAGUGCAGGACAAUGUGAAUCACUCUACAGACGAGAACUGGGGCUCAUAUGGUCCUCCUGUUAGCAGCAAGACACAGGUCAAAAGGCAAGCCUCUUAGGCUCUCUUAUCUGAACUAACAGAGAACUGUAUUCCAACUAUUGGUAACCUCAUUCAGAUUAUUUUACACUCUGUAAGAAAUAACACUGAACGCUUAUUGAGCGCUUACUUUAUAAGCAUAGUAGCUCAUUUAAUCCUCGUCACAAACUGAGAAAUUGAUCCAUGUGGGUUCCUUCCAUGUCACAGAUAAGGGGAAAUUGGAGCUCAGAGAUUUAAGCCACCUGCCAGAGGUCACAUGACCCACAAAAGGUGAGCCAGCGUUCACACUCAGGUCUGCGUGACCCCACACACCAAGCUCAACACUGCCGUUAUGGAUAAACUUGCCCCCCCUCCCACACACACACACACAGUUUUGCCCAGUUACUCAGAAAACACAUUUUCUCACCUAUAUUUUGCACUUCACUUUGCCUGCCCAGCCAC